CCUACGGGGGGCAGCAGUGGGGAAUUUUGGGCAAUGGCCGAAAGGCUGACCCAGCGACGCCGCGUGUGGGAGGAAGCUCUUCGGGGUGUAAACCACUGUCAGAGGGGACGAAUGCCGGUAUGGGGAAUACUCAUGCCGGGUGACGGUACCCUCAAAGGAAGCACCGGCUAACUCUGUGCCAGCAGCCGCGGUAAUACAGAGGGUGCGAGCGUUGUUCGGAAUCACUGGGCGUAAAGCGCGCGCAGGCGGUUUUGCAAGUCUGGAGUGAAAUCCCGUCGCUCAACGACGGGGCUGCUUUGGAAACUGCGGGACUGGAGAUCGGUAGAGGCUGGUAGAAUUGCAGGUGUAGCGGUGGAAUGCGUAGAGAUCUGCAAGAAUACCCGUGGCGAAGGCGGCCAGCUGGGCCGAAUCUGACGCUGAGGCGCGAAAGCGUGGGGAGC
rnacentral:rRNA from 1 species